GUACAAGUAUCUACAGUGAUCAUUAUAUAUCCAUACAUAAGUUAGGUACUGUGUGUAUGUUGUAGACAAUGUAUCAAUAACACUGUGAUAGUGUACAAUUACUGGUACAUAUGUAUCUGCAGUGUACAUGAAAGUACAUUGCUAUACAUGUACAUACAUUAUUCAUGUAAACCUUUGUAUGUUUUUUGUAAUAUGAAUUUCUUAUCAGGUUAAUUUUAUUGCAGAUGAGUUGACUAUUAAACAUACAUGUAUCAACAAUAUUUGUUUUUAAAGUUUUUAGAAACCGCUAUCUUGAAUUUUGUCAAUACAUGUAGCUAUCCAAAAAACUUAUAUUUAUAAACAAGGCUACAGUAUCUAUAGUCAGUAUGACAUCAGACGAUUUCUGAAUGGUAUUUAUAAGAGUUGAUUUCGAAAAAAAAAUGAAAUUCAUUAUCUUAUAUAGGCACUGAUAACUUAACAUUCUUUUUUUUUUUUUUUUUUUUUUUUUUUCAUUUUUCUCAAUAAUCUAAAUUUCACAUGAUCUGAUUUGGAAAAACAUGACAUGACAUGUAAUGAACAACAGAGUUUUCUUGUACCACGUUUUGAUAUUGAUCGUAAUUUAUUACAAGCAAAAGUCUAAAAAAAAAAAAAAAAGACGUUUCCAGAAACUGCAUUACAAAACGCGGGAGUUCUAUAUAAUAGCGCUUCUAAACUUCGCAAAAUUCCCACAUUUUAAUCUUUUAUAGUCGAAUGUUAAAAGAGAGAGAGAGAGAGAGAGCUCUGCAUGCAUGUCAGUUUAUUGCGCACAAAAACGUGCGCUAGUUUUGGAUUUAUAAACAUGAUUUAUUCCC
rnacentral:misc_RNA from 1 species